rnacentral:lncRNA from 1 species
UUAAGCUUUAAGCAGAUACUAUAAAAGACACAUUACAUUUGGUAUUGAGAAGAGCCCAGCACUCUGACUUGAAAUAACAUGUCUUUUAAGCUUCAGUAUCGAUUACAUUCGCUAAAUGCCAAGUAAAGGCUUGUGGACCUGUGUCAGAUAAAACUCAGGCUUAGUCACAAACAGAAAUAACAUUGUCAAUGGGUCAAAACUCAGGCUUAGUCACAAUAACCUUCAUUAUGUAUGAUGUGCAUGAAAGCAUGCUAAAAAGAGUGAACCAAAACAAAAUCAGAUAAUCAUUAAUAAAAUAAAUUCAUACAAUCCAAAAAAAAAAAUUGAGUUUGAAUAUGUCGUCAACCACAAGCACAACCUAUAGAGAUUUGAGAUGAUUCCCCAAGCAGCCCCAUUCAUAUUAAGCUUUAACAUUAUUUCAAUCCCUCAUUAAGCUUUAACAUCGAUAAUUACUAUGCAUCACCACAUGCUCAACAAAAAAAUAUUAGAUAAAAAAUCAACAAAUUUUAAUAAAUUAAACUUGUGUGAAAGUAAAAUAAAAUGAUAUCAAUAACUUGGUAAAUAUGUAGAGAAAUAAAGUUCAAACAUCACAAGCACAACCAACAGAGAUGUAAAAUGAUCCGCAGGGCUUAAUAACAGUAAGCUACUGAUGAUACAUUUGUAUAUAAUUUAGCAAUAUACAGAGAAAACUCAAGCUUAAACAUGGCAUCAAGCACAUCCUACAAAUAUGUGAGAUGAUCUCCCAGGCUUAAUCAACUGUACGCUAUUGAUAUAUUUGUAAGCUUUACGACCAAUAUAUUACGUGCAUGAAGACAUGGUUAAGAAUUUAUAAUAUAAAAAUAAAAUAAAAGUAUAUCGAUAACUUAGUAAUAUUUUAGAAAAACCAAGUUUUAAGCAUGUCAACAAGAACAAACUACAGAGAUGUGAGUGAUCCCCAGGGCUUAAUCACAGUUAGCUGCUGAUUAUAUACUUUUUCUUUCCCUCUGUAAGCCACAUCAAUGUAUUAUGUGCAAGAAGACAUGGUUUAACAAAACAACUUUAUACAAAAAAUAUGGAACAAUAAUUACAUAAAUAACUUAGUAUCAUAUAGAGAACUUAAGUUUAAACAUGUCAUCAAGCACGUCCUAUAGAGAUGUGAGAUGAUAUCCUGGGCUUAAUCAACUGUAAGCUACAGAUCUAUAUGUAAGCCUCAACAUCAAUAUAUUACGUACAUGAAGACAUGGUUGAAGAAAAUAAAGUUAUACGAAAAAAAAAACAGAAAAAACUUGUAAAAUUAACUUCGUAAUAUAUAAGCCUAUCAUCGAGCAACGUCUACAAGAUGUGAGGUGAUCCCCAGGCCUUACUCAAAGUAAGCUACUGAUACACAAUUUUUAUCCCUCCGUAGUCUUCAACAUCCUUGUAUCACGUGUAUGGUGACAGGCUUAAAAAUAGUAAAUAUAAGAAUAGAAAAUCAUAGCUUUUUUUCGUAAAACUACCCUUGAAAUAUAUAGAGAAUACGUAUAAAUAAGUCUGUCAUAGAGCAAAUACAGAGAUGUGAGAUGGUCCCCAGAUCUUACUCAAUGUAAGCUACUGAUAUAUAUUUGUUAUCCCUCCGUAGUCUUCACAGUUCACAUCACUGUAUUACGUGCAUGGACAGAAAAAAGUAAAUAAAUUUGUACAAAAAAUCAAGAAAAUACAACAAAAAACUUAUAAAAUAUCUUUGUAGUGUAUAGAAAAAACUCAAGUAUAAGCAUGUCAUCAAGCAAAGUGUACAGAGAUGUGAGUUGAUCCCAAGGCCUAAGUCAGAAAUAUAUAUAUAUAUCAACUCCGUCGCGUAGGACUACUUGUAGUCUCCGGCUGUAAUAAUUAAGUAUGCUGAGUUAUGAUAAAUAUAGACUUCGUCGCGUUUUUUCCCGUUUAGCCGCAGGCAGAUGGCCGUUAGGCGUUUAGGGAUUUUGUUCGUUGACUGUUGAAGUUCAUCAUAGUUCUGAAUAUGAGAUUAUUAUUUGCUGUGACAUAAAUCGUUGACUGUUGAAAUUAAUUAUGAAUUAAGAUAUGAAAUAGUUGUCAGUUGUGACUUAAAUCGUUGACUGUCAGUAUUAAUCAUGGAUAUUGAUCUGAAGCAUAUAAUUCUAAGUGUUCUCUUUUCUGAAACAAUUAGUAUGAUAUUAAGAACUGCAUGAUCCCUAACUCCUUAUUGACACGUAUAACCUUCGUGUUAUCUGCUUUUAUUUUAGCUUUUAGAUAAUUCUAAGAUGGGGAAAAUGAUAAGUAUUUUAAUCCUUUAAUCCCUUAUAGGGAAAAAAUUAAAAAGACUAUUUGGAUUUCUUCUAUGAAUAUGAUAGAACCGACAGAUAAAUUUAUCAUUGAUCGAGUAACCAUCAAUAAUGAAUUUAAAAGUUCAAAAUAUGAUGCCUUUCGUAAAUGGUAUUGGGAAAAUUAUAAUAAAGCCCAACAUGAAUUUAUUAAAAAUAGAUAUUAUAAUCAUUUAGAAAAGACUAGAAUUAUUAUUCCUUUUGCACAAUAUGUCCAAAAAAUGAGUAAUAUUCUAGAAUCUUCUGAAGCCAAAGACUAUUUUAAUUAUUGGACUAAUAAUAGUUCUAAAUCUGAAUUAAGUGCUAAGACUUUGACUAAUAAUAAUAUUAUUGAAUUAUCACAGGAUAUUAAUACUGUAUCCAAUAAAAUUGAAAUUAUUGGAAACAAUAAUACCAAUGUCAGACAAGAGGAGGAACAUAGGGAUAUUCCUGUUAAAACUGACAGUGAUAUUAACGACAGUCUAAAGGAUAAGCAUGAUGUCACUCUCAUUUCUUCUAGAAAAGAAAUUAUUGUUUCAAAAUUAACCUCUAGUAAUAAAGUAUUUCACACUCAGAAAUUAACUGAGAACUAUUAUAUAGGGAAAUAUCCUAAUCAAUUUAAUAAUACUAUACGUGUUUUGUCACCUAGUAUUAAAAAUUUUAUUUCUCAAAGAAAAAUCUCUAAGAAAUCUUUUCGUCAGAAAUUUGGAAAUGAUAGUUCUAAUCAAGUAUUUUUCAAACAACAAUUCGUUUCUAAUUUCAAAAAACAAUUUGUUUUUAAUCAAUAUCCGAAAACGAAUAAUUUUACACUGAUUAUUGAUACGAUAAAAAGAGAGUUUAUUUCCUCACAUGAUUUAAUCAGGUUAGUUAAGCCUUUUAAAUGUGAACCCCAUUGUUGGUGUCUGAUGAUUGAUUGGGUCAAUAGUCCUGUGAAUCAUUAAGAAGAUAUAUUAAUCCUCUCCUAGAUCAAUGUCAUUAUCAUCAUCUUCAUGCUGGGAAGAGCUGUGUUGAGAGUAAUCUUGUUUGUGGUCCCACCAUGAAAUAAUCGUGUUACUAGGAUAAUCAGUGUCCUUCAUGCUAUUGGAAGCAGUGUCCAUAGGAGAAAUAUCCCCAAAAGAAGCUUGGAUGUGCUCCUGCAUUUCUUUCAUGACUCGAAACUUGAUCUCUUGGGAUGAGAGCCCAGGAUGGGCUUUUGUUAAUUUUUCCCGAAUGAUUGAAACAGGAUUGUCUGUAAAGGAUUCUUUAGGAACUGGUGAUGGAGUAUGACGGGAAGCAUAUAAUUGUUCUAGCUUUUGAAUAUCAGGAGUAAUGGUUAAUAAUUUUUUCUCGAUGGGACAUUUUGCCCACCAUUUGUAAUGGUAUUGUCGGCAGAGACCAUGAAAACCUUCAGAAGCUUGGAAUUGACAACUGUAAGUCCAGGCCCAAAUCCAAGGGAUUAAAUAAUCCGCUAGAAAAAAGAGGAGUGAUUUUCCUCGAAUAGUAUCUUGUCCUUCGAACAAAUGAUGAAAUUGGAGAUAAGGUUUAAAAAGAACUUUUAGCUCUGAUGGAAAAAAAUCCAGAUUAGGCCCAAAUUUAAAAAACCAAUUGUAAAACCAAUUAGGAAUUUCAUUGUUUUCUUUUUUGAAAUCUUCAUCAAAGUAGAAGAACCAAGAAUGUUUCCUUUGAGGAUUUUGGUAAAAGAAGGAAUAGGACCAUGCGUCCAUAUAAUCCCAAUAAUUAUAGGAUUGAUUAUAAUUAUGGUAUGGACCACGUAAUUCCCGCAAUUUAUUGGGGUCUCCCCAAUCAGAAGAUUUGAGGACCAUAUGAAUCAUUGCUUUACUGUAAGCAAUGGGUGAAUUAAGAGUAUUACCCUUUCUAUUAUGUUCAAAACUAACUGAUUUAGUUUCUUCUAAAAUUGAUUCAUAGAAAUAUCUAUGUUUUCCACCUCGGAUAGGACUAUUAUCUUUUUCAUCAAAAUAUUUUUGACCCAAAAUUAUGGGAUCUAAAAGCCAUUUCUCAUCCUCUGAAUUAAGGAUCACAAGUAGUUCUGUGUAAUUUUUUAAGAACAACUUGGGCUUAUUGUUGCCUAAUAAGGCUUCUUUCAUAGUUUUGUCCAUUGGGACUUUUAUAUUUUUGUCCAUUGGGACUUUUCCAGAAGAACCCGAAUUAGGGUCGAUUAGGCUCAAUUUGCCUUUACCUGUAAUUGAAUAACCCGAAUUAGGGCCGGUAAGGCUCAAUUUGCCUUUUCCACGUCCUUGCCCCACAUGUGGUGCUGGACUAUGAUUACUCAUCUCUGCAAAUAUUCGCGGGUAAGGAAAUCAAGAAGAGAAUUAUUAUCUCCUUUUAUAAAUUCUAUUUGAAAUUCAAAUACCGACAGAAUUGCUUGCCAUCUGGCAAAAAUAUGUUUAGAUGCUAAAUUUUUAACAUCUUUUUCAAUAAUAUCUUUUGCCGAACUACAAUCAAUUCGUAACAAAAAUUCUUGAUUUAUUAAAUCAUCUUGGAAUUUGUUAACACAAUUUACUAUAGCCAACAUUUCUUUUUUAACAGUCGAAUAUUUGACUUGAGCAUUUUUCCAAACGCCAGAAUGAAAUCUAAUUAGAUCCUCUUUAUUAGUCAAAUAAUUUUUCUGUUUAAGUAUACCACCAUAUCCUCUAUUAGAGGCAUCUGUCUCAACAAUUUUCAGGCCAUUCGGACUUGCCAGAGAUAAGCAAUGUUUUAUCUUUUGAACAGCUUUUGUAUGAUCCAAGGACCAUGGUUCAGGAUUUUUACGAAGUCUUUCAUAAAGAACUUUGGUGUCCAAAGCUAUAUCUUUGUAAUAAUCAGAGAUGUAGUUAAGGCUUCCUAAGAAUCUCUGUAACUGUUUUUUAUCUCUUAUUUCAUCAGGGAAUUUUGAUGCAAAUUCUAUGGAUCUAUUAAUAGGGAUAAUUUUUCCUUGACAAAUAUUAUGUCCUAAAAAACGAAUUUCGGUUUUAAAAAUCUUCAUUUUUAGUGCAGAAACAACUAAACCAUUUUUCUUAAUAAGAUGAGAAUAUAUAUUUAGAUGUUUAAAAUGUUGAUCAAUAGACUUGGAAAAAAUUAGUAUAUCAUCAAUAUAAACAAUACAAAAUUCUGUAUAAGCAUUAAAAAUUUCAUUCAUAAUAUUCAUGAAUUCUGAAGGAGCAUUUUUCAAGCCAAAAGCCAUAACAUUCCAUUCAUAAUGUCCAAAGGGAACAAUAAAAGCAGUUUUAUAUUUAUCUUGUUCUGCAAUUUGCACUUGCCAGUAUCCUGACUUUAAAUCAAAUUUGGAAAAUAUACAAGCAUCAUUUAAACGUUUCAAUAAGUCUUUCUUAUUAGGAAUAGGAUAGCGAAUCCAUUGAAGUACCUUAUUAAGGGGUUUGUAAUUGAUAACUAAUCUAGGAAUUCCUCUUUCUUGUUCAACAUUUUUAUUAACAUAAAAGGCUGCACAACUCCAACAAGAAGAGUUUUUCCUAAUAAGCUGUUUAUCUAGGAGACCUUGAAUUUCAGUCUUACAUAAUUCCAUAUAAAUUUUAUUCAUCUGAAUUGGUCUAGCCUUAGUAGGGAUCAUGUUUUCGUUAAAACCUUCAAUAUAGGGUAAUUUAACUAUGUGUUGUUUUCUAUCCCAAAAAGCAUUAGGGACAUCGCUGCAUAUUUCCUUCUGAAAUUGUUUUUCUAAGGAAAGAAUUUUUAAUAGCAAAUUGCUCUAAUUGUCUAUCAAUAGAGGCAUAGCCUAUUUCUUAAGAUAAAAAAUUGAUUUGUUCUUCUUUUAAAAAUAAAGUCUCUUGUAAUUGAUUGAUAUAAUUUAUCUUGGGCUUAAUGAUAAAUUUAAAAAUUAUCUUUUUCCCCUCCAUAGUGGUAUGAAUACCAUUAUUAUCAAUCCUUUCAAUGGGCCAGAUAAGGCUUAAAAAGGGUCUUCCUAAGAUUACCAUUUGAGAUAAAUUACCAGAUAAUACAAAAGGUGUAUUAAUACAAAUACCAUCAUUGCAUACCAAAACCUUCGAUAGUUUAUAAUUUAUCCUCAUAGGAGAACCAUUAGCCGUAUUUAAUGCAUACUUAGUUUUCUCAAAAUACUUUGUAGGAACUAGUCAUUCUCUUAUACAAUUAAGGUCUGAACCACUGUCAACCAAGGCAAUAGUUUCCAGAGUAAAUUCUUGAUUAAUAACCAAUUUUACAUUAAUAUGCCAUUUUUGACUGGUAGAGUGAUUUAGGGACAAUAAAUCUCCAGUAGUCUCUAUUUCCGGUAAAGAAAUUGAAUUAUUCUGAAGUAAAUAAAUUUUUCCAUUUAAGAUUUUAAUAUCUGAUUUAAGGUUAUUAAUUUCACCUUUAAGGUCAGAAAUGGUAUAUUUAUUAACCAUAGAAUUAGAAUUAGUAUUAUGAAAAUCAUUAUCAAAAGAAGAAAGGGACUUAGAAGUAUUUUCUAAAUAACUUUGAAAAGCUUGUCUUCUUUCAACAGGAUUAGAAAUUUUAUUGAUAACAUCUAAAAUUAAGGUCUGAUUUUUACUCAAGACAUUUAUACUAGGCCUGUUUAUUAACAUGUCAUAAUUCCUAGAAGUUUUUUGAUAAAAACUUUUAGUUAAUUUUAAUUCACUAUUAGUGAUAUCCAUAAAACCAUAUUUAAAAGGCUUAACUAACCUGAUUAAAUCAUGUGAGGAAAUAAACUCUCUUUUUUAUCGUAUCAAUAAUCAGUGUAAAAUUAUUCGUUUUCGGAUAUUGAUUAAAAACAAAUUGUUUUUUGAAAUUAGAAACGAAUUGUUGUUUGAAAAAUACUUGAUUAGAACUAUCAUUUCCAAAUUUCUGACGAAAAGAUUUCUUAGAGAUUUUUCUUUGAGAAAUAAAAUUUUUAAUACUAGGUGACAAAACACGUAUAGUAUUAUUAAAUUGAUUAGGAUAUUUCCCUAUAUAAUAGUUCUCAGUUAAUUUCUGAGUGUGAAAUACUUUAUUACUAGAGGUUAAUUUUGAAACAAUAAUUUCUUUUCUAGAAGAAAUGAGAGUGACAUCAUGCUUAUCCUUUAGACUGUCGUUAAUAUCACUGUCAGUUUUAACAGGAAUAUCCCUAUGUUCCUCCUCUUGUCUGACAUUGGUAUUAUUGUUUCCAAUAAUUUCAAUUUUAUUGGAUACAGUAUUAAUAUCCUGUGAUAAUUCAAUAAUAUUAUUAUUAGUCAAAGUCUUAGCACUUAAUUCAGAUUUAGAACUAUUAUUAGUCCAAUAAUUAAAAUAGUCUUUGGCUUCAGAAGAUUCUAGAAUAUUACUCAUUUUUUGGACAUAUUGUGCAAAAGGAAUAAUAAUUCUAGUCUUUUCUAAAUGAUUAUAAUAUCUAUUUUUAAUAAAUUCAUGUUGGGCUUUAUUAUAAUUUUCCCAAUACCAUUUACGAAAGGCAUCAUAUUUUGAACUUUUAAAUUCAUUAUUGAUGGUUACUCGAUCAAUGAUAAAUUUAUCUGUCGGUUCUAUCAUAUUCAUAGAAGAAAUCCAAAUAGUCUUUUUAAUUUUUUUCCCUAUAAGGGAUUAAAGGAUUAAAAUACUUAUCAUUUUCCCCCAUCUUAGAAUUAUCUAAAAGCUAAAAUAAAAGCAGAUAACACGAAGGUUAUACGUGUCAAUAAGGAGUUAGGGAUCAUGCAGUUCUUAAUAUCAUACUAAUUGUUUCAGAAAAGAGAACACUUAGAAUUAUAUGCUUCAGAUCAAUAUCCAUGAUUAAUACUGACAGUCAACGAUUUAAGUCACAACUGACAACUAUUUCAUAUCUUAAUUCAUAAUUAAUUUCAACAGUCAACGAUUUAUGUCACAGCAAAUAAUAAUCUCAUAUUCAGAACUAUGAUGAACUUCAACAGUCAACGAACAAAAUCCCUAAACGCCUAACGACCAUCUGCCUGCGGCUAAACGGGAAAAAACGCGACGAAGUCUAUAUUCAUCAUAACUCAGCAUACUUAAUUAUUACAGCCGGAGACUACAAGUAGUCCUACGCGACGGAGUUGAUAUUAAUCAUAAAUUAAACACAAAACAAUUAUUAGUCAGAGACUACAAAGUAGUCCAACGCGACUAUGUCAAAAGAUUAAUCAUAAAUCUCAUUAAGAUUAUAGAUAAUAUUCUAACAAGGUUUUGAGCAAUAGAGGUCGGUUUACACGUGAGUGCUCAGACCCUCAUUACUGCUACUGUCAGAGGCUACCAGUAGCAGCUUGACAAUUGAUUAUAUAUAUAUACAUUUCUUAUCCUUCAUAGUAUUCAACAUCACUGUAUCACGUGCAUGGUGACAGGCUUUAAACUAGUGUAAUAUAAACUUGUACAAAAAAAUCAAUAAAAGACAUUCAUAAAUGAGAGACCAAGCAAGCCAUGAAGCACAAUCAGCACAGAUGUGAGAUGAUCCCUCAGGCUUAGUCAUAAUAAGCUCUAUGUAUGAUGUGCAUGAAAACAUGCUAAAAAGUGAACCAAAAACAAAAUCAAAAUAUCAUUAAUUUCUUAAUUUCAAAAAAGAAAAAAAGUCGAGUUUGAACAUGUCGUCAAGCACAACCUAUAAAGAUGUGAGAUGAUCCCAUUCCCUCGGGCAGUCAAAUCACAUUAAGCUACAACAUCAAUAUUUACUGUGCAUAACGCCAUGUACAAAGAAUAUUAUAUUAGGAGAUAAAAUCAACAAAGUUUAAUAAAACACAAACAAACAAAAAAAGCAUCACGCAUAAUGUACACAUAUGUGAUCCCAUCAGGCUUAUAAACUUCAUCAUCUAUAAUUUCAUUAUUCUAGUAUACAACAUGAAACAAUGCUCCGAAGUCAGAGGGAGAGAAGUAACUACAAAACCAAGCAACACUUUCUAAAUUCUGUAAAAAGCACAUAAUUUCUGAGUAUAUUAUCAAAGACAAUCUACAAAUACGUGAAAUUAAUCCUUUGACCUUUUUCCAUUAAGUUUCAUCGUCUAUUGAUUAAAAUAAGAUUCCUAUAUAUAACAAUAUAGAAUUCGAAUUUCUAUAUGAAUGAUGACUCUGUGCAUAAUACCCCAAGUCCCCAACCCCAAAUAACAUCUCUAUCUCACUAUCUGAGACAAUUACAACUCUUAUAAAAGUAUUAAUGUGCCAAACGACCCUUAAAUCAAAAAUCCAAAAAAGACCCAACAACCUACUAAACAAAAACACAACCAACAGAAGAAUUGAACCCUAGAGAAUUUACACUAAUAACUAAUAUGUAUAACAAGUAAAGAUUGAAAGAGACGACCUUAACCUUACUUACUUAUUACCUCAUCAGAGAAAUUCUUCUCGAUCGUCGUCUAACCUUGUUUAUGGUUCACACUUUCACCAAUCAACAACAUCAAAU